CUAAGAAUAUUCCGCAAUGGACGGAAGUCUGACGGAGCGACGCCGCGUGGAUGACGAAGGCCGAAAGGUUGUAAAGUUCUUUUGCUGGGGAAGAAUAACCGCAGGAGGGAAUGCCUGUGGGAUGACAAGAACCGGCGAAUAAGCCCCGGCCAACUACGUGCCAGCAGCCGCGGUAACACGUAGGGGGCGAGCGUUGUUCGGAAUUACUGGGCGUAAAGGGCAUGUAGGCGGCUUGGAAAGCCUGGCGUGAAAGUCUGCAGCUUAACUGCAGGGGUGCGCUGAGAACUGCUGAGCUUGAGUGACGGAGAGGGAGCUGGAAUUCCUGGUGUAGGGGUGAAAUCUGUAGAUAUCAGGAAGAACACCGAUGGCGAAGGCAAGCUCCUGGCCGAUGACUGACGCUGAGGUGCGAAAGUGUGGGGAUCAAACA
rnacentral:rRNA from 1 species